UACGUAGGGUGCAAGCGUUAAUCGGAAUUACUGGGCGUAAAGCGUGCGCAGGCGGUUAUGCAAGACAGAUGUGAAAUCCCCCGGGCUCAACCUGGGAACUGCAUUUGUGACUGCAUGGCUAGAGUGCGGCAGAGGGGGAUGGAAUUCCGCGUGUAGCAGUGAAAUGCGUAGAUAUGCGGAGGAACACCGAUGGCGAAGGCAGCCCCCUGGGUCAAGAUUGACGCUCAUGCACGAAAGCGUGGGGAGCAAACAGG
rnacentral:rRNA from 1 species